CCUACGGGAGGCAGCAGUGGGGAAUAUUGGACAAUGGGCGAAAGCCUGAUCCAGCCAUGCCGCGUGUGUGAAGAAGGCCUUCGGGUUGUAAAGCACUUUCAGUGGGGAAGAAAGCCUUGGGGCUAAUACCCUCGAGGAAGGACAUCACCCACAGAAGAAGCACCGGCUAACUCCGUGCCAGCAGCCGUGGUAAUACGGAGGGUGCGAGCGUUAAUCGGAAUUACUGGGCGUAAAGCGCGCGUAGGCGGUCUGAUAAGCCGGUUGUGAAAGCCCCGGGCUCAACCUGGGAACGGCAUCCGGAACUGUCAGGCUAGAGUGCAGGAGAGGAAGGUAGAAUUCCCGGUGUAGCGGUGAAAUGCGUAGAGAUCGGGAGGAAUACCAGUGGCGAAGGCGGCCUUCUGGACUGACACUGACGCUGAGGUGCGAAAGCGUGGGUAGCAAACAGGAUUAGAUACCCUAGUAGUC
rnacentral:rRNA from 1 species